rnacentral:tRNA from 1 species
GCAGUCGUGUCAGAAAAUUUAUGAGUUAGCUUUAAGCGCUAGUUAUGGUGCUAUCCCGGUUGCU